rnacentral:rRNA from 1 species
GACGAACGCUGGCGGCGUGCUUAACACAUGCAAGUCGAACGGAAAGGCCCUGCUUUUGUGGGGUGCUCGAGUGGCGAACGGGUGAGUAACACGUGAGUAACCUGCCCUUGGCUUUGGGAUGACUUCAGGAAACUGGGGCUAAUACCGGAUAGGAGCUCCUGCUGCAUGGUGGGGGUUGGAAAGUUUCGGCGGUUGGGGAUGGACUCGCGGCUUAUCAGCUUGUUGGUGGGGUAGUGGCUUACCAAGGCUUUGACGGGUAGCCGGCCUGAGAGGGUGACCGGCCACAUUGGGACUGAGAUACGGCCCAGACUCCUACGGGAGGCAGCAGUGGGGAAUAUUGCACAAUGGGCGGAAGCCUGAUGCAGCAACGCCGCGUGCGGGAUGACGGCCUUCGGGUUGUAAACCGCUUUCGCCUGUGACGAAGCGUGAGUGACGGUAAUGGGUAAAGAAGCACCGGCUAACUACGUG